rnacentral:rRNA from 1 species
AAUGGGCGCAAGCCUGAUCCAGCCAUGCCGCGUGAGUGAAGAAGGCCCUCGGGUUGUAAAGCUCUUUUGUUGGGGAAGAAAAGCCUUGGGUUAAUACCCUGAGGUUCUGACGGUACCCAAAGAAUAAGCACCGGCUAACUUCGUGCCAGCAGCCGCGGUAAUACGAAGGGUGCAAGCGUUACUCGGAAUUACUGGGCGUAAAGCGUGCGUAGGUGGUUCGUUAAGUCUGAUGUGAAAGCCCUGGGCUCAACCUGGGAAUUGCAUUGGAUACUGGCGAGCUAGAGUGCGGUAGAGGGUAGUGGAAUUCCCGGUGUAGCAGUGAAAUGCGUAGAGAUCGGGAGGAACAUCUGUGGCGAAGGCGACUGCCUGGACCAGCACUGACACUGAGGCACGAAAGCGUGGGGAGCAAA